GGCCUUUCACAUCCUGCCCGGGGGGCCUAUAUUAAGCGUGUCGGGCAACCGACUAUGGCGAUAAACGCCGUGUGGAAUAAGCGUUACGGACCCGGGGGCGGUACCCGGCGCCUCCACCAUAAACCCUUUUGGUACAGUCGCUUACGGGCGCCUGUGCGGGGCUUCAUGGGGGCGAAACAGGAUCGACGUGCGCGGUAAAGACGCGGUUUUUGCUCGGUAUGGUACCCGCCGUUAUCGGGCCAAACCUAGAGAUGCCAACGACAACGUUGCAUCCGAUCUCCGUAUGGCUGCCUAACAUCCCUAACGGGCUGUAAGUAGCUGACGAGAACGCGGUACCGGGGGGCGCCGGGCAACAGAAAGCCCCCCA
rnacentral:tmRNA from 1 species